UCCUUGGAACAAGAAGGUUUCUCAAUGAGGAGCAGUUCCUGUCAGGACUCUUGAUGGGAAGGCCGGGAACAGGCCCAGCCUCUGCUUUCCCUCUUUUCCUUCUUUUGGCCUUUUGAUCCUUUGUGGUACCACAAAGCACUGUGUGCAGUUCUUGGAACUUCAUCUAGGAGAAGACGGUUGUGCUUAAACCAGGAUGGACAGCAGCCUCUCUUUCUUCUAAACAAAGGGACACAAUUCAAACCUGGAGAAGAACGGUUCUUUAUAUGGAUCUUAAUAUUUUGUAGAGGCUGAAAUGAGAUUCAGGCCAGUGCCUUUGGAUUAGGAGGGCAGAAAAUCUUUGCUUUCACCCUGCUCCUUCUUCAAACUCUCUAACCAUUCUGAGAGUGAACAUUACUUAUCCUACUUUGACGAUGGACUAUGAAGAUGUCUCAGAGAGGAUGUCUUCUGCCCAACACAGAGUGGAGCUUAGCCUUCUGUCUAGGAUUCUUUGGCUCAAAAGCUUGUGGGUGCCUCUCCAGGAGGGAAUGGCCCUGAUUGAACUCACACUAUUCAACUGAUCUGCUUUGAUUAGGCUCUUUGGAGGAGAAAAGGAUUUAAGUGUAUGGAUGUUUGAUCUCCAUGUAUGUCUACAUGAUAUGUGUGCCUGGUGCCUGCAGAAGCCAGAAGAGGGUAUGAGAUCCCUUGGAGCUGGAGUUACACAAACAACUGUUAACAGCCACAAAGGUGCUGGGAACCAAAUGCAGAUCCUCUGUAUGAUCAGAAAAUGCUUUUAACUGACCACCUCUCCAGCCCAUGAUAUGACUUUUUAUGAUGUAUGUGGUAGAUGUAUAUGCAGAUGUACGUAGGUACAUGCACCCAUAUGUGCAGUUGUAGAAGAGGUCAAACUGGGUAUCUUUCUCUAUCACUGUCUGAAAGGAAAAUUUAAAGCUUUAGACCUGUGCUGACUAGGAAGAAAAGUUAUGGGCCUAAGAAUCCAUCACAAGCUGGCCCACAUAGGCCUGAGA